UCCGUGGAGCUCAAGUUUGAGGUGAAAGCAGGCUCAGAGUCCACCUGUCCUCGCUGAUCCAUGGAUUUCUGUGUGACCAGGUCCCGGGCUGGACAGAGAGUGACUCUACUGGGAGCCGUGCCAUGAGACCCAGGGCGUCACCCACCUGGGCUCCCUCACCCUGGACGGGGACAGCCUCUACGUCAGUGAUUACACCUAUGGAGCCGCAGCCCCGACUACCACCAG